GAUGAACGCUGGCGGCGUGCCUAAUACAUGCAAGUCGAGCGAACAGACGAGGAGCUUGCUCCUCUGACGUUAGCGGCGGACGGGUGAGUAACACGUGGAUAACCUACCUAUAAGACUGGGAUAACUUCGGGAAACCGGAGCUAAUACCGGAUAAUAUAUUGAACCGCAUGGUUCAAUAGUGAAAGACGGUUUUGCUGUCACUUAUAGAUGGAUCCGCGCCUCAUUAGCUAGUUGGUAAGGUAACGGCUUACCAAGGCAACGAUCCGUAGCCGACCUGAGAGGGUGAUCGGCCACACUGGAACUAAGACACGGUCCAGACUCCUACGGGAGGCAGCAGUAGGGAAUCUUCCGCAAUGGGCGAAAGCCUGACGGAGCAACGCCGCGUGAGUGAUGAAGGUCUUCGGAUCGUAAAACUCUGUUAUUAGGGAAGAACAAAUGUGUAAGUAACUAUGCACGUCUUGACGGUACCUAAUCAGAAAGCCACGGCUAACUACGUG
rnacentral:rRNA from 1 species